rnacentral:rRNA from 1 species
CCUACGGGGGGCUGCAGUGGGGAAUAUUGCACAAUGGGCGCAAGCCUGAUGCAGCCAUGCCGCGUGUGUGAAGAAGGCCUUCGGGUUGUAAAGCACUUUCAGCGGGGAGGAAGGCGGUGAGGUUAAUAACCUCAUCGAUUGACGUUACCCGCAGAAGAAGCACCGGCUAACUCCGUGCCAGCAGCCGCGGUAAUACGGAGGGUGCAAGCGUUAAUCGGAAUUACUGGGCGUAAAGCGCACGCAGGCGGUCUGUCAAGUCGGAUGUGAAAUCCCCGGGCUCAACCUGGGAACUGCAUUCGAAACUGGCAGGCUAGAGUCUUGUAGAGGGGAGUAGAACUCCAGGUGUAGCGGUGAAAUGCGUAGAGAUCUGGAGGAAUACCGAUGGCGAAGGCAGCCCCCUGGACCAAGACUGACGCUCAGGUGCGAAAGCGUGGGGAGCAAACAGGAUUAGAUACCCUUGUAGUC